rnacentral:lncRNA from 1 species
UUGAUCUUGUUCUGUCUCUCUCUCUCUCUCUCUUUCUCAAGAAACGAUGGCGUACUUUUCAGAUGUCGCUCAUAUCGCAAGAAGUAAAGACCUUGAAGGAAGUAUUGAAUAGUGUCGCUGCUCAUAUAUACGAUGCGAAGCUUUCCUCUCACGCCUCGGCUCAUUACCAAAACAAAUGCCUUGUUGCGGCGCUCUCUUCAGAUCAGAGUCUAAAUCCCAUCUUAAUCACUUGAAGUCAGGUAUAUAUUCUAUUUCUAUUAUCAUCUCUCUUUUAUUCUUUAGAAUAAACAUAAAAAUUAAAAAUUAAAAAGAUUUCAAACUUUUUUUAGGAGAAAUUUUGGUGUAUUGUUUUGAUUAAUUAUGAAAACUCUAAGAUGCAUGAUGUGAAAACUAUUCGAUCCAUAUGGCCAUUCAGUUGAUUUAUCAAUUGGACGUAAGAGAUUGUAUGAUUGUUUUUGUCUUCAUGGAUUGUAUUCAUUUAGUUUAAUUUCUAAAUUGAUCACUCACAAUAUCAAAAUUACUCUUAAAAAUUGUUUUCUCAAAAUAAAUGUUUUUGUUUUUGUUUUCAAACCUUAAAGGGGGAAUUUCGAUGUUAUAUGAUUGAUUAUGAAAUUUCUAUUAUCAUCUCUCUUUUUUUUUUGAAUAAACAUAAAAAAAAUUAAAAAGAUUUCAAACUUUUUUUAAGAGAAAUUUUGGUAUAUUGUUUUGAUUAAUUAUGAAAACUUUAAGAUGCAUGAUGUGAAAACUAUUCGAUCCAUAUGGCCAUUCAGUUGAUUUAUCAAUUGGACGUAAGAGAUUGUAUGAUUGUUUUUGUCUUCACGGAUUGUAUUCAUUUAGUUUAAUUUCUAAAUUGAUCACUCACAAUAUCAAAAUUACUCUUAAAAAUUGUUUUCUCAAAAUAAAUGAUUUUUUUUUGUUUUCAAAUCUCAAAGGGGGAAUUUCGAUGUUAUAUGAUUGAUUAUGAAAAGUUAAGUUGAAUUACAUGAUGUGAAAACUACUUGGGUCAUGAUAUCCAGUCAUUUUGUUUGAUAGUCUGUUCGUUUGGUUUUUACAUUUGUAUUCACUUAGUUUUGAUUGAUCUUCUAUGACAUCGAAAUUUCUCCUUUUUGUGUAUUUUAAGGUUUUUUUUUCUAAACUUUGAUUGUAUAUAAUUAAAAUGUGGCACAUGUUGCGUGUUAAAACCUUAAUGAAAGAAACCCAUAUAUCAAACACUAACUCUGAGAGUUUAAUAAUUGUUUCGAGGGAUCCAUCGGAGGAAGUUAACAGCAGCAGGAUGGCAUUUGGACUCCUUGAAGUAGAAGAAGCUGAUAUAUAGGUUGAUAGCCAGGAAAGCCCAACUGCUGACCCGAAGCCCACUUGAUAAUUGCAUCCUCUAAAGAGAAGCAGUGGGAGAAUCCAUCGCGAAAGACGGCCCAGAAAUAACAAUUAUGAAAACCCAGAGAAAAAGAAUACUAGGAUAGUGAACCUAGUAGACAGUGAGAAUUUUUUUUUCUUCUUAAAAGUGUAAGAUGAAAAAGUAAUGUUUUUGUGUUGACAAAAAAAAAGUGAUGUUUUUUUGUAAAGCUUUUAGUUUUCACAUUAAUCUUUUAUUUAUAGUUUGAAAAUUUUAUAGUUUUUUAUACUAUGUGUUUUAUAGUGAGUUACCUUAAGAAAAGUUUGUAUUGACA